GAAAUGCGAUAAGUAGUGUGAAUUGCAGAAUUCAGUGAAUCAUCGAAUCUUUGAACGCACAUUGCGCCCCUUGGUAUUCCAUGGGGCAUGCCUGUUCGAGCGUCAUUUGUACCCUCAAGCUCUGCUUGGUGUUGGGUGUUUGUCCCGUCUCCGCGCGUGGACUCGCCCCAAAGUGAUUGGCAGCCGGCGUACUGGUCCCGGAGCGCAGCACAUGUCGCGCAAACGAGUGCCUUGGUACGGCGGCGUCCAUAAGCCCCUCUCUCACGCUCUUGACCUCGGAUCAGGUAGGGAUACCCGCUGCACUUGAGC
rnacentral:misc_RNA from 1 species